CAAUGAGCUUUUUUUUCCUGUUAAGAUAUCUUUAGAAAGCAGUAGUUAAAAAUAGCUAUAAAUAUUUGCAUUUUGAAAAUAUUUUCUCAUACAGACACUUUCUUGCACUUGAAUUGUGUUGACUGAAUGGAACUUUUUUUUCCUCCCCUCAGCAGAAAAUCAACUUCUCUCUUGGCUGACCUUUCCUCACCUGCUUCCCGUUUUAUCCUCUCAUGGAUGCAACUUUCCCUGCAGGAAAAAGACCGUGGUGAUUGCAGUAGGUUAAGCUUCAAGUUAGCAAGGUUUCCUGGUGAGACUGGAGAUUCCUGGGUACUGUUCCUUUUGAUGUCCUUGGGGUGAGCAAAAGAAAGAAGUGAGGAAAUAAAAAGUCAGCCUGGAGAUGAAUAUGAGGCGUG
rnacentral:lncRNA from 1 species